rnacentral:rRNA from 1 species
AUUGAACGCUGGCGGCAUGCUUUACACAUGCAAGUCGAACGCAGCGCGGGCUUCUGCCUGGCGGCGAGUGGCGUACGGGUGAGUAAUACAUCGGAACGUGCCCAGUAGUGGGGGAUAGCUCGGCGAAAGCCGGAUUAAUACCGCAUACGACCUGAGGGUGAAAGCGGGGGAUCUUCGGACCUCGCGCUAUUGGAGCGGCCGAUGGCAGAUUAGCUAGUUGGUGGGGUAAAGGCCUACCAAGGCGACGAUCUGUAGCUGGUCUGAGAGGACGACCAGCCACACUGGGACUGAGACACGGCCCAGACUCCUACGGGAGGCAGCAGUGGGGAAUUUUGGACAAUGGGCGAAAGCCUGAUCCAGCAAUGCCGCGUGUGUGAUAAAGGGCUUCGGGUUGUAAAGCACUUUUGGCGGGAACGAAAAGGACUGUGCCAAUACCACGGUUCGAUGA